rnacentral:rRNA from 1 species
AACGAACGCUGGCGGCGUGCCUAAUACAUGCAAGUCGAACGAGAAAGUGGCUUCGGCCAUGAGUAAAGUGGCAGACGGGUGAGUAAUACAUAGAUAAUCUACCUCCAAGAUGGGGAUAACCUUCCGAAAGGAGGGCUAAUACCGAAUGAGACCACAGUUACUUCGGUAACAGGGGUCAAAGGUGGCCUCUACUUGUAAGCUAUCGCUUGGGGAUGAGUUUAUGCACCAUCAGCUAGUUGGUAGGGUAACGGCCUACCAAGGCUUUGACGGUUAGCUG